AACGAACGCUGGCGGCAUGCCUAACACAUGCAAGUCGAACGAGACCUUCGGGUCUAGUGGCGCACGGGUGCGUAACGCGUGGGAACCUGCCCUUAGGUUCGGAAUAACUCCCCGAAAGGGGCGCUAAUACCGGAUAAUGUCUUCGGACCAAAGAUUUAUCGCCUUUGGAUGGGCCCGCGUUGGAUUAGCUAGUUGGUAGGGUAAAAGCCUACCAAGGCGACGAUCCAUAGCUGGUCUGAGAGGAUGAUCAGCCACACUGGGACUGAGACACGGCCCAGACUCCUACGGGAGGCAGCAGUGGGGAAUAUUGGACAAUGGGCGAAAGCCUGAUCCAGCAAUGCCGCGUGAGUGAUGAAGGCCUUAGGGUUGUAAAGCUCUUUCACCCGGGAUGAUAAUGACAGUACCGGGAGAAUAAGCUCCGGCUAACUCCGUG
rnacentral:rRNA from 1 species